rnacentral:snRNA from 14 species
UUGAAAAUUUGAGACCGCGCUGGGCACUCUAUAAGACCCUAAGCAUAAUUUUUGGACGCCCGUUGCAUGCCCCGGCGGGUGA